rnacentral:lncRNA from 1 species
AAUUUUCAGACAAAUCUGACAACCCGUUGAUGGAUUGCUGCCCCCAAAUUAGUAAUUUGAAGGAAAUUUUGCAGAGUUUGGUUAUUAUCUUAAAUAUUAUUAUAGAUAGAGAUAAACUGUAAACAGCAAUAAUGUUCUGCAAAGUAAGAUCUACGAAUAGGUCAAUAUGACCAAAAUUUUAAGUUGACCCCUUAAAGAGUUAUUGCCCUUUAUAGUCAAUUUUUAACAAUUUUCAUAAAUUUUUGUAUUUUUUGUUAAUUUUUAAAAAAAUUUUCAACUGUAAAUACUGGGCCAUGUUUAUUAUAGAUAGAGAUAAUGGUAGCACCAAGAAUGUUCAGUAAAGAAAGAUCUACAAACACAUUCCCAUCAUCAAAAACACAAUUUUUGUCAUUUUAUAUGUGUCCGUUGUUUAAUAUGCACAUAGACCGUCCAAGGUGAGCGACACAGGCUCUUGAGAGUCUCUAGGUCAUUAAUACAGGUAGAUAACUUUAUCAUGUUUAUACUGAAAAAUAAUUUUGCAUGGAGGGAGAAUUUUAAAAAAGUUCUGUCUUCAAAAGAGUUGACAUGUUACUAUGUACAUUAACCAUUAUGUUACUUGAUGUUCUAGCAAUACAC